rnacentral:lncRNA from 1 species
UUGAAGCCUGCACGCUGCAGUAAGCCUCUUCCUUGGGUGCCAUGGUAGCUCACCAGGUGGUGCGCAGACCAUUAAGUCUGAGUCCUUACCGCAGUGACCUGGGUUUGAGUCUGGCUCAGGGUCCUUUGCUGUCUGUCUCUCUCACUAUCAAAAAAAAGCAGAAAUGCAAAAAGAAACGUAUCUUCCUUGCUGCGCUCCUCUAUCUAUUUAAUGUUGUACCCCACUCACAUCCAGUGUCUCCCGUCUUUUAGGCUGAGCCAGUUCAUGACAUGGAUUACUAAAUUCGACCACUUUGCUGGUUAGCCCAGAAAACGUUGUUUGUGCUGGUGCUGCACUGCCUGAAGCCGGUGUCUCCUGCUUCUCAGACUGAUUCCAGCGCUGCAUUCCUCUGCUCUGUCAGAUUGGCACACAGAAAAAGAGUCACCUGGCCGAAUGGAGAUGUCCGACGGUGUCUGGAAACCGAUGCGGACAUGGAGGCCGUCCAGCCCAUCAUCCAACGCCAGCACAUUGAAUGCCUGGCAGAGAAGAUCCACACGACCGCAGCCGGUGUCCAAUUCCUCCACACUUGCCUCGGUGCCUCCUCUGAUGUUGAAUAUAUGCAGAGCUGGUCUUGCUUGUCCAUUAAAUCAGACGCAGUGUUUUCUUGUCUGGCUUUGUUUGUUGCAUUGCUGCAAAAGUGACCUUUGGGAUGCCGCUACCGUAGACUAA